rnacentral:rRNA from 1 species
AUUGAACGCUGGCGGCAUGCCUAACACAUGCAAGUCGAACGGCAGCACAGCAGUAGCAAUACUGUGGGUGGCGAGUGGCGGACGGGUGAGGAAUACGUCGGAAUCUGCCCAGUCGUGGGGGAUAACUAGCCGAAAGGUUAGCUAAUACCGCAUACGACCGAGAGGUGAAAGCGGGGGACCGCAAGGCCUCGCGCGAUUGGAUGAGCCGACGUCGGAUUAGCUAGUUGGCGGGGUAAAGGCCCACCAAGGCGACGAUCCGUAGCUGGUCUGAGAGGAUGAUCAGCCACACUGGAACUGAGACACGGUCCAGACUCCUACGGGAGGCAGCAGUGGGGAAUAUUGGACAAUGGGCGCAAGCCUGAUCCAGCAAUGCCGCGUGUGUGAAGAAGGCCUCGGUUGUAAGACACUUUAUCUAGAACGGAAAGACGUUGGAGUUAAUACUACUGACGUAGC